rnacentral:misc_RNA from 1 species
AACGCACAUUGCGCCCCUUGGUAUUCCAUGGGGCAUGCCUGUUCGAGCGUCAUUUACACCCUCAAGCUCUGCUUGGUGUUGGGCGUCUGUCCCGCUUCGUGCGUGGACUCGCCCUAAAGAUAUUGGCAGCGGUCAUGCCAGCUUCUCGCGCAGCACAUUGCGCUUCUCGAGGUACCGGCGGAUCAGCGUCCAUCAAGCCCACUUCCACAGUUUGACCUCGGAUCAGGUAGGGAUACCCGCUGAACUUAA